UACGGAGGGUGCAAGCGUUAUCCGGAUUUACUGGGUUUAAAGGGUGUGUAGGCGGACUUUUAAGUCAGCGGUGAAAUCUCCGGGCUCAACCCGGAACUGCCAUUGAUACUAUUGUCUUGAAUGUUGUUGAGGUGGCGGAACGGGUCAGUGUAGCGGUGGAAAUGCAUAGAUAUGACCCGGAACACCGAUUGCGAAGGCAGCCCACUAAGCAACGAUUGACGCUGAGGCACGAAAGCGUGGGGAUCAAACAGG
rnacentral:rRNA from 1 species